UGCUGGUGUGGGAGUCAGGGCAGGCAGCCGUGGGACUUCUGGCUUGAUAACAGAGCAGGCCAGAGAGGAGCUGGUAUCUGCUGGGCAGGCACAGGUACUCCUGGUGCAGACAGGGCACGCGGCACGUAAACUCAUGAGCCAAGCACUGCAUGCAAAAGGUUUGUGGUAUCGAAAAGCACUGUUACAGAGGGGGAAGCGAGGAGUUUUGAGGAAAUGUCCUGCUCUGUGAUGCUGCUGUGUCCUCUCCUGCCUGCUCAAGAAUGCAUGGAUUGAAAGGCAAACAAGGGCAGGAGCUCUGUGAGGGUAUGAGAAGAUGUGGCUUUAACUGUGAAGCUUGAAGUUACAGGUAUUUUCUUGCAGCAGCACUGCCAGAGAAGCCCGGGAGCGCUCCGGCGGGGCGGGCUCGGUACCGCAGCGCUCCAUCUGCCGGGGCGUGGGGAAAGUCUCCCGUGCGCCUCUGCCUCCCUCUGCCGCCCUGGGAGCCGGCUCGGGAUGAUUUCUGGUGGCUUAGAUCAACCUGUGACGCUGCUUUCAUGCUGGGGAGAGUUGCGAUAUUUAGCCCAUGGUAUCACCUUACUUCCUUCCUCUCCUACACGGCUGUCCAGGCAUCUUCAUCCGUCAUCGAGGGCAGAGAAACUAAGCUGACCCUACUUUUCCACCUGUGAAACUAAUUUCCUUUGGCUGAAGUCAGAGUUUACAGCUGGCUCCUUGCAGUGCUUUGCACGCACGCAGCACAGGGAAGCUCCCAAAACUCCCAGCUGCUGUGAGGGAAUAGGGGAAUGGGGGAAGGAAAAUGACCUCAUCUGGGAUGAAGAUCAGUCCCUGUAUAAGCUUUCAGGUGCUCCCCAUGGAACCUUUCACUGGUGGGUUUGGAUGUGUAAAGGAGGCCUGGAGUCUCUCAGGCGUUUGUGGUGGCUCAGGGCUGGCUGUCAGGCAGGCUUUGUGAGUUGUGUCCCUGCCUCUGGAAUACCACACAGGAGCAGAAACCUGGGAUUUCUACACAAGACGUAAAGGUUUCUUUGUCAGCUUCUCUCCCCUUCCCCGCUGCUUUCCCUGCAGUUCCAAGCCUUCUCCUGAAGUUUGCUCUGCAGAGGGUUAUAGAGCUGGAUUAUCCCUCUGCCAUCCUACCAGCAAACCCUCCUCUCUGGCCCAGUCACCUUCCCUGAUCCAUCCCCAUGCUCUCUGCUGUGCCUGUCCUCCCCAUGUUCAGGGUGCCACAGCAGUGGAAGUGGUCUUACCAUGCUCCUGCAAAAGGACUGACUACUUCUCUUUUUUAAACCAUUAUUAAUUUAUGGAAUGGAGCUACCUUUUCUGAGAUUGUCCUCCUCCUCCUUUCUUCUUCCUUCUUUCUUCUUUCUUCUUCUUUUUCUUUCCUGUUUUACUUAUCAGGAGAGUGCUGCCUAUUGUGGUUUCUCCUCCCUGAGAUGUUUUCAGCCCUCACCACCCUUGCCUGCCUUGCUCAAGCACAUGUGGUUUAUUCUUCCCCUGAGUCACAGUUUCAGCAGCAGCCUGGGAACCCCCUGCCAUCAUCUGCACAUUGCUGCUUACAGAGCUGACAAGAAGUCCUGCACUCAGGACUUCUGUGGCAGCACCACCCAUGUGGGAGGUCUUGCUGAGGACAAAGUUGGCUGCAAUUCCCUGUUCCUAUGAAGCUACAGCUUGGAAGAGUGAAUUCUGACUGUUUCUGCUGCUUCAUUCAAGGGACUCUGUUUCUCCAGAAUGACAUCCUCCUAGUGUGGUGCUACUGGGAAAUGUCACUGCCAUGUAUGACUCUUUUUAAAAUUUGGUUUAAAGCCAGUACUUUAGCAAUAUUUUCCUAUUUCUCUGAAUGACCCAGUUAGCCAUGUUUACAGAUGAUGAAUGUAUAUUAAAAUUUGUACCCAGCUCACCUGCUGGAGGCUGAGGAUUAAGUUGAAUAAAUUAUAUGAAUUAUGGCCAUUUAUAAGAUGAGUCUCCAUCCCUUUAUCACUUAUACACUGUUCAAAUG